GCAUCAUUGGUCUAGUGGUAGAAUUCAUCGUUGCCAUUCGAUUCCAAAUCGGAUUCCGACUCGAUGAGGCCCGUGUUCGAUUCACGGAUGAUGCA